rnacentral:rRNA from 1 species
AUUGAACGCUGGCGGCAGGCCUAACACAUGCAAGUCGAACGAGUGGCGGACGGGUGAGUAAUGUCUGGGAAACUGCCUGAUAGAGGGGGAUAACUACUGGAAACGGUAGCUAAUACCGCAUACCAUCGGAUGUACCCAGAUGGGAUUAGCUUGUUGGUGGGGUAACGGCUCACCAAGGCGACGAUCCCUAGCUGGUCUGAGAGGAUGACCAGCCAAACUGGAACGAGGACACGGUCCAGACUCCUACGGGAGGCAGCAGUGGGGAAUAUUGCACAAUGGGCGCAAGCCUGAUGCAGCCAUGCCGCGGGUAUGAAGAAGGCCUUCGGGUUGUAAAGUACUUUCAGCGGGGAGGCGUUACCCGCAGAAGAAGCACCGGCUAACUCCGUGCCAGCAGCCGCGGUAAUAC